UACGUAGGGUGCAAGCGUUGUCCGGAUUUAUUGGGCGUAAAGAGCUCGUAGGCGGUUAGUCACGUCGGAUGUGAAAACUCAGAGCUUAACUCUGAGCCUGCAUUCGAUACGGGCUGACUAGAGUGUUGUAGGGGAGACUGGAACUCCUGGUAUAGCGGUGAAAUGCGCAGAUAUCAGGAAGAACACCGGUGGCGAAGGCGGGCCUCUGGGCAACUACUGACGCUGAGGAGCGAAAGCGUGGGGAGCAAACAGG
rnacentral:rRNA from 1 species